rnacentral:tRNA from 1 species
GCUGAUGUGGCGAAAUGGCAGACGCGGCUGGCUCAAACCCAGCUGGAGCAAUCCGUACCGGUUCAAGCCCGGUCAUCAGUA